AUUGAACGCUGGCGGCAUGCCUUACACAUGCAAGUCGAACGGCAGCACGGGAGCUUGCUCCUGGUGGCGAGUGGCGAACGGGUGAGUAAUAUAUCGGAACGUACCCUAGAGUGGGGGAUAACGUAGCGAAAGUUACGCUAAUACCGCAUACGAUCUACGGAUGAAAGUGGGGGAUCGCAAGACCUCAUGCUCAUGGAGUGGCCGAUAUCUGAUUAGCUAGUUGGUGGGGUAAAAGCCUACCAAGGCGACGAUCAGUAGCUGGUCUGAGAGGACGACCAGCCACACUGGAACUGAGGCACGGUCCAGACUCCUACGGGAGGCAGCAGUGGGGAAUUUUGGACAAUGGGGGCAACCCUGAUCCAGCAAUGCCGCGCGAGUGAAGAAGGCCUUCGGGUUGUAAAGCUCUUUUGUCAGGGAAGAAACGGUUCAGGCUAAUAUCCUGGGCUAAUGACGGUACCUGAAGAAUAAGCACCGGCUAACUACGUGCCAGCAGCCGCCGCCG
rnacentral:rRNA from 1 species